CAAUUUAAAGCUUAAUCAGUAAAGUAUUUCAUUUACAUUGAAAAGAAAUUUGUGCAAAUCAAUUUAAAUUGA
rnacentral:tRNA from 1 species